UUUCGCAAUGCCCGAAAGGGUGACGAAGCGACGCCGCGUGCGGGAAGAAGGCCUUCGGGUUGUAAACCGCUGUCGGGAGUUAAGAAAUGCAAGGAUGUUAAUAGCAUUUUUGUUUGACUAAGGCUCCGGAGGAAGCCACGGCUAACUCUGUGCCAGCAGCCGCGGUAAUACAGAGGCGGCAAGCGUUGUUCGGAAUUAUUGGGCGUAAAGAGCACGUAGGCGGCUGUGUAAGUCGGUUGUGAAAGCCUUCCGCUUAACGGAAGAACGGCAUCCGAUACUGCAUAGCUCGAGUGCGGGAGGGGAGAGUGGAACUUCUGGUGGAGCGGUGAAAUGCGUAGGUAUCAGAAGGAACACCGGCGGCGAAGGCGACUCUCUGGCCCGUAACUGACGCUGAGUGUGCGAAAGCUAGGGGAGCAAACGGGAUUAGAUACCCCGGUAGUCCUAGCCGUAAACGAUGGGCACUAAGUAGAGGGGUUUU
rnacentral:rRNA from 1 species